AAAGAAUUAGUUAAAUUAACAUUAGCAUGUCAAGCUAAAAUUAUUAGUAUCAAACUAAUAUUCUUUG
rnacentral:tRNA from 1 species